CACGUAGGGUGCGAGCGUUGUCCGGAAUUAUUGGGCGUAAAGAGUGUGUAGGCGGCGCUCUAAGUUCGGUGUGAAAUCUCUCGGCUUAACUGGGAGGGUGCGCCGGAAACUGGAGUGCUCGAACGUGGGAGAGGAAAGCGGAAUUCCUGGUGUAGCGGUGAAAUGCGUAGAUAUCAGGAGGAACACCUGCGGUGUAGACGGCUUUCUGGACCAUUGUUGACGCUGAGACACGAAAGCGUGGGUAGCAAACAGG
rnacentral:rRNA from 1 species